GACGAACGCUGGCGGCGUGCCUAAUACAUGCAAGUCGAACGCAGUGGGGACGGGUGAGUGACCCGUGGGUAACCUCCCAUCAGAGGGGAUAACGCUUGGAAACAGGUGCUAAACCGAUACUGAUGGAUGGACGCGCGGUGCAUUAGCUAGUUGGUGAGGUAACGGCUCACCAAGGCCACGAUGCAUAGCCGAUCUGAGAGGGUGAUCGGCCACACUGGGACUGAGACACGGCCCAGACUCCUACGGGAGGCAGCAGUAGGGAAUCUUGGGCAAUGGACGAAAGUCUGAUCGAGCAAUGCCGCGUGAGUGAAGAAGGUUUUCGGAUCGGAAAACUCUGUUGUUAGAGAAGCGUUAUCUAACCAGAAAGCAACGGCUAACUACGUGCCAGCAGCCGCGGUAAUUC
rnacentral:rRNA from 1 species